GACGAACGCUGGCGGCGUGCUUAACACAUGCAAGUCGAACGGUGAACCUCUUCGGAGGGGAUCAGUGGCGAACGGGUGACUAACACGUGGGCAACCUGCCCCCGGCUCUGGGAUAACUCCAAGAAAUUGGGGCUAAUACCGGAUGUUCACCGCUUCCCGCAUGGGUGGUGGUGGAAAGGGUUUCCGGCUGGGGAUGGGCCCGCGGCCUAUCAGCUUGUUGGUGGGGUAGUGGCCUACCAAGGCGACGACGGGUAGCCGGCCUGAGAGGGUGACCGGCCACACUGGGACUGAGACACGGCCCAGACUCCUACGGGAGGCAGCAGUGGGGAAUAUUGCGCAAUGGGCGGAAGCCUGACGCAGCGACGCCGCGUGGGGGAUGACGGCCUUCGGGUUGUAAACCUCUUUCAGCAGGGACGAAGCGCAAGUGACGGUACCUGCAGAAGAAGCACCGGCCAACUACGUG
rnacentral:rRNA from 1 species